rnacentral:rRNA from 1 species
UACGAAGGGGGCUAGCGUUGCUCGGAAUCACUGGGCGUAAAGGGUGCGUAGGCGGGUCUUUAAGUCAGGGGUGAAAUCCUGGAGCUCAACUCCAGAACUGCCUUUGAUACUGAGGAUCUUGAGUUCGGGAGAGGUGAGUGGAAUUCCCAGUGUAGAGGUGAAAUUCGUAGAUAUUGGGAAGAACACCGGUGGCGAAGGCGGCUAUCUGGCCCGUAAUUGACGCUGAGGCGCGAAAGCGUGGGGAGCAAACAGG